rnacentral:lncRNA from 1 species
GAGGGCUCGAGUGCUGUGAAUGUACCCAGGCAGUCCCUGGGCUUAUCACUUAACUGACUCUUAUCUCUGAGAGAUUCAUAUGAUGUAUUGUGGGAGUUCCUGCGUGGCGCAGAGGAAACAAACCUGACUAGUAUCCAUGAAGACUUGGGGUGGAGGAUCCUUGGCCUCGCUCAGUGGGUUAAGGAUCUGGCAUUGCCGUGAGCUAUGGUAGAAAAAACAAACAAUAACCAAAUAGAGUUGAAGAAUACAAUACCUGAAAUGGAAAAUGUACUAAGAAGGAUCAGAAGCAGAAUAAAUAAGUGAGCUGGAAUACAGAGUGAUGGAAAUCACUGCCAUGGAACAGAAUUUUUAAAAAAAUGAAAUGAUGAAAACAGUUUACUGGAGCUCUGGGAUAAUGUCAAAGGCACCAACAUUCGUAUUAUAGGGGUCCAAAAAGAGAAAGGAUCUGAGAAAAUGUUUGAAGAAAUAAUAGCUGAAACUUUCCCUAACAUGAGAAAGGAAGCACUCACCCAAGUCCAAGGAUCACUUAGAGUUCCAUACAGGAUCAACCCAAGGAGGAACACCCCAAGACAGAAUAAUCAAAUUGACAAAAAUUCGAGAUAAAGAUAAAAUAUUAAAAGCAAUGUGGGAAAAGCAAUAAACAAUAUAGAAAGGAAUCCCUGUAAAGUUAUCAGAUGAUUUUUCAAGAGAAAUUCUACAGGCCAGAAGGGAGUGGCACAAUAUAUUUGAAAUGAUAAAAGGGGAAAAACCUCAACCAAGAAUACUCUACCCAGCAAGGCUCUUGUUCAGAUUCAACAGAGAAAAGAAAAGCUUUACAGAGAAGCAAAAGCUAAGAGAAUUCAGCACAACCAAACCACCUUUACAGCAAUUUUCUCUAUGUGGAAAAACAAAAAGUCCCAACUGGAAACAUGAAAAUUAUGAAAUGGAAAAUCUCACCAGUAAAGGUAAAAUACAAUGAAGUUAGGAAAUUAUCCACACACAGAUAUGCAAUCUAAACCAGUAAUCAUGAGAGGGUGAGAAUAUAAAUAUAGGAUAUUUGAAAUGCAUUUGAAAUUAAGAGCUCAUCAACUUAGUCGUAUAUGUAUAUAGACUGCUGUAUCAAAACCUGUUAAUUACAAACUAAAAAUCUAUAAUAGAUACACACAAAAAGGAAUCCAAACACAACACUAAAGAAAGUCAUCAAAUCACAAGAGAAGACCUACAAAAAUCCAAAAUAACAAAAUGGCAUUAAGGACAUACAUUGAUAAUUACUUUAAAUGUAAAGGGAUUAAAUGCACCAACUAUAACACAGAAACUAGCUAAAUAAGACACAGAAGACCCGUAUAUAUGCUGUCUACAAGAGACCCAUAUGAGAUCUAGAGAUACAUGGAGACUGAGAGUGAGGGGAUGGAAAAAGGUAUUCUAUGCAUAUGGAAAUCAAAAAGCUGGAGUAGUAAUAGACAAAAUAGACUAAAAUAAAGACUGUUACACAGAGUUCCCUUCAUGGCUCAGUGGUUAACAAAUCUGAUUAGAAACCAUGAGAUUGCAGGUUUGAUCCCUUGGCCUUGCUCAGUGGGUUAAGGAUCCUUCGUUGCCGUGAGCUGUGGUGUAGGUCACAGAUGCAGCUCCAAUCUGGCGUUGCUGUGGCUGUGGCAUAGGCCAGCAGCUGGAAAAGAUGGGGGGAAAAGAAAAAAAGACUGUUAUGAGACAAAGAAGGGCACUACAUAAUGAUCAAGGGAUCAAUCCAAGAAGAAGAAUUAUAAAUAUAUAUGAACCUAAGAGCACUCCAACAUUAAGGCAAAUGUUAACAUAUAAAAGGAGAAAUCGACAGUAACACGCAAUUGGGGAACUUUACAUCACUUAUAUCAGUAGACGGAUCAUCCAGAUGGAAGGUCAGUAAGGAAACAUAGGCCUUAAAUAAUGCAUUAGACCAGACAGACUUAGUUGAUAAUUAUUGAGCAUUCCAUUUGAUAGCAGCAGAAUACACUUUCUUUUCAUGUACACAUGGAACACUGUCCAGGACAGAUACCAUGCUGGACCACAAAGUAGGCCUCAGUAAAUUUAAGAAAAUUGAAAUUGUGUCAAGUGUCUUUUCCAAACACAAUGCUAUGAGAUUAGAAAUCAGCUACAAGAAGUAAAUGCAAGAGUUGCCAUUGUGACUCAGUCAGGAU